AUACGGAGGAUGCGAGCGUUAUCCGGAUUUAUUGGGUUUAAAGGGUGCGCAGGCGGCCAUUUAAGUCAGCGGUUAAAUCGUGGGGCUCAACCCCAUUCUGCCGUUGAUACUGGGUGGCUUGAUUGCGGUCGAGGUUGGCGGAAUUCGUUGUGUAGCGGUGAAAUGCAUAGAUAUGACGAAGAACACCGAUUGCGUAGGCAGCUGACCAGAUCGCAAAUGACGCUCAUGCACGAAAGUGCGGGGAUCGAACAGGAUUAGAUACCCUGGUAGUCCGCACAGUAAACGAUGAAUACUUGUUUUCGGCGAUAUAAUGUCGGAGGCAAAGCGAAAGCGAUAAGUAUUCCACCUGGGGAGUACGCCGGCAACGGUGAAACUUAAAGGAAUUGACGGGG
rnacentral:rRNA from 1 species